GGGCAACCACAGGGAUUGCUCACUGGUGACUCAGUGGUUGACUCAAAGGCUAGGGGGUGGUUUGGGGGUGGAGGCAGAGGUCCAGUGAGCUGGGCUCCACCCUUUCUCUCCCUGCAGUCCCAACUCCAUUUUUAUCUGUGCUAUAUGUUGGAGUCUAGCCAAGAUGUCAUUUGAACAAAGAUUCUGAAAGAUCAAAGAAAAAAGUUUGAAAACCACCAGGACAAUGCUUUCAGGGGACUUUAUCCAAAAGACUGCAACAAUGUAAAGAGAUACGAUUGCUUUUAUUACUGUGAUAUGUUUAAAGUAUUAUAAAUUUUUUAAGAGCUUUGUAAGUGACAGAAGUGAAGACAUGCUCAUUUUAAUGUUACCAGUCAACUCUGAGAAGACUAAAGGUCAAGGGACAAUGAAAAUGUGACCCUUACCAACGACAGAAACUCCCAGGAAGCCACAAUUAACUCAAGACUACCAGGAUAUUUGGGGAAGUUUAUCCUUCUGGAAACCAGAAUUUCUGAUUUGUGGAAAAUUCUAUAGAUAUUCUCUGCCAGACUCCAGCCUAUUUGAUGAAACAAUUGAGGCCAAAGAGGUAAAGUGACAGCCACCAUCAUCCCAACUAAGUUGGAAGGCCAAAGGACAAAAGGAAACAUAAGAACGCAAUUACCUGAAUGACAGAUUAGAACUCAGGGAUUAUUUCUUGAUCCAGGCUUAGUCAAUGGAAGAGCUGGUACAUGAACGCAGGCACAGUUGGUGAACAGUAGAGCCAGGAUUCAGACUCAGGCAGCCUGGCUACAGGGCCUGUUUUCUUCAACCCCAUGGCAUCCUGCCUCUUUUUUUUUGGGGGGGGGGGUGGGGAGGGGUGGGGAUGGAGUCUCAUUCUGUCACCCAGGCUGGAGUGCAGUGGUGCAAUCUCAGCUAACUGCAACCUCCGCCUCCUGGGUUCAAGCGGUUCUCCUGCCUCAGCCUCCCAAGUAGCUGGGACUACAGAUGCGUGCCACCACACCCAGCUAACUUUUGUAUUUUUAGUAGAGACAGGGUUUCACCAUGUUGGCCAUGAUGGCACCAUGGUCUCGAUCUCUUGACCUCGUGAUCUGCCUGCCUCAGCAUCCCAAAGUGCUGAAAGUGACAGGGUAAGGAUUUGAAACUCAGGCCUGCCUGCCUGUCUCCAACCACUCAGUCUUUUCUCCAGCCAUCCUGCGUCCGUUACAAUUCACACACUGUUUGUCACCACUGGCUAAUGGCUUUGGAUACUUCUUCCUCUUAUCAGUGUGAGACAUCUGGGGAGGCUCCCCUUUUUUUCACCAUUUGAGGACUGAAAGUAAAUUUAGCUUCCUCAGCAGAAAGAAAAGAAGCUGUUUUGGAGGUUGGGAAGAGCUUUAGAAAAUGCGGCAUCAAGUCUGUUGCCCCUUUAAAGAAAGCAGCUCUGGAAAAGGCCUAGGACAUUAGUUGCUACAAAGUUCUAGAUCAUUCUGUGUGGUAAAGAAGUGCCUUUCACCUCCCACUGUGACUCUGAGGCCUCCCCAGCCAUGUGGAACUAUAAGGUCUGUGUUGGUAAAUUAGACACCGUGUGGCCUUUCAACAUCCAGGAGCAAGAUGGCAGGAGGAUCAUGCCAACAACUGAGGUACCUUGCAGGAAAUCAAACAGGAAGAAAUCACCCAAUGGGAUCAGCUGGGCAAACAUGGGUCACUCCAGGUCUGGUCCCUCAAAUCUACUCAACCAAACCAUAUCAUAGUGGAUAACUAUUAUCUUUACCUGACUAGCAUUCAUUGCCCCUUCUGGUAUGCCCUAUUCCCCACUCUCAAUCCCUCUGUUUUAAGAAUGCCCCCACCUCCACCUUCCAUCUCCAGGAGUGAUAUCCACCCAGGUUUGCUCAGUAAGACUAUGAGACCUAUCUUCCUGGCUGUGGUGUUGGUUCAGAAGCAACAUGCCAACCAACCUGAUCCAAUGAGAGUGAGUUCUAGGACUUUUGCUGGAACUACUGUAUGUCUAUAUAUAAAAGAGAAUCUAUCUUUCUAUUGAAAGCCAAGGGUAAGAAGCCAAUAUGAUAUGCAUUUGAUUCUGUUAUGGAAAUCCACAUAAAAGAAGGCUGCCCAAGUAUAAAACCAACACAGAAGAAAGCAGAGGUAAGAGAUGGAAAAAGAAAUGGAGUGAACCAGUGACAGCAAGAGACUGAAGAACAUCAUUUGAUUGCCUGGAAUCAGCUAAGCCUGAAGAGAAGCCUAACCCUAAGCUUUUCAGUUACCCAAGCCAUCAAAUUCCCAUCCCCAUUUUUUUGGUUCUUAAGCAGCUUGAACCAUAGUUGUCUCACUUGCAUGCAAGAGAUCCCUGAAGAUACAUGCACUUCCUCAGGUGAAGAUUGCCAUCAGUUAACAGAUCCUGGCACCCAUGGACCCUGGGACAGUCAUUCUGGUAGCAUCCUCUGGUAGAGAAUAACAUAGUCAAAUCUGACAGUCAGAGAGGAUCUGCCAGCCUCUGCUUAGAUAUAGCCCACUGAAAGGGAGAGAUGAUUAAUUUAGCCUUGAUUUCAAAACCUUGUCUUGUAUAUUCCAUUCAGCACUUUUUAUCUUCCUGUAUUCCCCUGGUUCCUCUCUAGCUGAAUAAAGAACAAUUUUUAAAGCAAACAUC